AGGCCACAUUUGGAGUAAUAUGUUCAGUUUUGGUCACCCUGUUAUAGGAAAGAUGUUGUUAAGUUGGAAAGGGUGCAGCAAAAAGUUAUGAGGAUAUUACCAGGACUCGACAGCCUGAGCUGUGGGGAGAUUGAGCAGGAUAGGACUUUAUUCCUUGGAGUACAGAAGAAUGAGGAGAGAUCUUAUAGCUGUGUAUAAGAUCAUCAGAGGAAUAGAUAGGGUAAGUGUACAGAGUCUUCUACCCAGAGUAGGGGAAUCGAGAAGCAGAGGACAUA